rnacentral:rRNA from 1 species
GACGAACGCUGGCGGCGUGCUUAACACAUGCAAGUCGAACGGAAAGGCCCUUCGGGGUACUCGAGUGGCGAACGGGUGAGCAACACGUGGGUGAUCUGCCCUGCACUUUGGGAUAAGCCUGGGAAACUGGGUCUAAUACCGAAUAGGACCACGCGCUUCAUGGUGUGUGGUGGAAAGCUUUUGCGGUGUGGGAUGGGCCCGCGGCCUAUCAGCUUGUUGGUGGGGUAAUGGCCUACCAAGGCGACGACGGGUAGCCGGCCUGAGAGGGUGACCGGCCACACUGGGACUGAGAUACGGCCCAGACUCCUACGGGAGGCAGCAGUGGGGAAUAUUGCACAAUGGGCGCAAGCCUGAUGCAGCGACGCCGCGUGAGGGAUGACGGCCUUCGGGUUGUAAACCUCUUUCAAUAGGGACGAAGCGCAAGUGACGGUACCUAUAGAAGAAGCACCGGCCAACUACGUG